rnacentral:rRNA from 1 species
GACGAACGCUGGCGGCGUGCUUAACACAUGCAAGUCGAACGGAAAGGCCCCUUUGGGGGUACUCGAGUGGCGAACGGGUGAGUAACACGUGAGUAACCUGCCCUUGACUUCGGGAUAACUUCAGGAAACUGGGGCUAAUACCGGAUAGGAAUCCUUGCUGCAUGGUGGGGGUUGGAAAGCUUCGGCGGUUUUGGAUGGACUCGCGGCUUAUCAGCUUGUUGGUGGGGUAGUGGCUUACCAAGGCUUUGACGGGUAGCCGGCCUGAGAGGGCGACCGGCCACAUUGGGACUGAGAUACGGCCCAGACUCCUACGGGAGGCAGCAGUGGGGAAUAUUGCACAAUGGGCGGAAGCCUGAUGCAGCAACGCCGCGGGCGAGAUGACGGCCUUCGGGUUGUAAACCGCUUUCAGCAGGGGCGAAGCUUGUGGUGACGGUACCUGCAGAAGAAGCACCGGCUAACUACGUG